rnacentral:rRNA from 1 species
GACGAACGCUGGCGGCGUGCUUAACACAUGCAAGUCGUACGGUAAGGCCCUUUCGGGGGUACCCGAGUGGCGAACGGUUGCGUAACACGCGAGUAACCUUCCCACAACUUUUUGAUAACGCUAGGAAACUGGUGCUAAUUCUGGAUAUGUGCUCCUGCUCCAUGGUGGGGGUUGGAAAGCUCCGGCGGUUGUGGAUGGACUCGCGGCCUAUCAGCUUGUUGGUGGGGUAGUGGCCUACCAAGGCGGCGACGGGUAGCCGGCCUGAGAGGGUGACCGGCCACAUUGGGACUGAGAUACGGCCCAGACGCCUACGGGAGGCAGCAGGGGGGAAUAUUGCACAAGGGGCGCAAGCCUGAUGCAGCAGCGCCGCGUGCGGGAUGACGGCCUUCGGGUUGUAAACCGCUUUCAGCAGGGACGAAGCUUGUUGUGACGGUACCUGCAGAAGAAGCACCGGCUAACUACGUG